rnacentral:rRNA from 1 species
UACGGGGGAUCCAAGCGUUAUCCGGAAUUACUGGGCGUAAAGAGUUGCGUAGGUGGCAUAGUAAGCAGGGCAUGAAAUCGUAUGGCUCAACCAUAUAACCAUGUUCUGAACUGCUAAGCUUGAGAAUGGAAGAGGUCGCUAGAAUUCCUGGUGUAGGGGUGAAAUCCGUAGAUAUCAGGAGGAAUACCAAUGGCGUAGGCAGGCGACUGGUCCAUUUCUGACACUCAGGCACGAAAGCGUGGGGAGCGAUCGGG